GAAUUGCGAUAAGUAAUGUGAAUUGCAGAAUUCCGUGAAUCAUCAAAUCUUUGAACGCACAUUGCACCUUGAGGUAUUCCUCAAGGUAUGCCUGUUCGAGAAUCAGUAAAAUCAUCAAAACUUGCAUUGCGAAAUGUUUUUUUUGGAGUUGGGAUUGUGUGAUUAUUGUCGGACUUUCCUUAAUAGUAACUGUUGCCUCCCAAUCUACUUGUUGGUGUAACAAUGCAUGACCAUUGAGCCUCGGCUCUUCUGAUUGCACUUGCGCAUCAAAAAGGCAGUUUGUGAGUGAACAUAUAAAACAACACGAAGCUUUGGCUUUAAGACUUGAUCUCGAAUCAGACAAGACUACCCGCUGAACUUAA
rnacentral:misc_RNA from 1 species